AGUGAACGCUGGCGGUAGGCCUAACACAUGCAAGUCGAACGGCAGCACAGUAAGAGCUUGCUCUUACGGGUGGCGAGUGGCGGACGGGUGAGGAAUACAUCGGAGUCUACUUUUUCGUGGGGGAUAACGUAGGGAAACUUACGCUAAUACCGCAUACGACCUACGGGUGGAAGCAGGGGAUCUUCGGACCUUGCGCGAUUGAAUGAGCCGAUGUCGGAUUAGCUAGUUGGCGGGGUAAAGGCCCACCAAGGCGACGAUCCGUAGCUGGUCUGAGAGGAUGAUCAGCCACACUGGAACUGAGACACGGUCCAGACUCCUACGGGAGGCAGCAGUGGGGAAUAUUGGACAAUGGGCGCAAGCCUGAUCCAGCCAUACCGCGUGGGUGAAGAAGGCCUUCGGGUUGUAAAGCCCUUUUGUUGGGAAAGAAAAGCAGCAGGUUAAUACCCCGCUGUUCUGACGGUACCCAAAGAAUAAGCACCGGCUAACUUCGUG
rnacentral:rRNA from 1 species